rnacentral:rRNA from 1 species
UACGUAGGGGGCAAGCGUUGUCCGGAAUCAUUGGGCGUAAAGCGCGCGUAGGCGGCCCGAUAAGUCCGCUGUAAAAGUCCAGGGCUCAACCCUGGAAAGCGGGUGGAUACUGCCGGGCUAGAAUCCGGAAGAGGCGAGUGGAAUUCCUGGUGUAGCGGUGGAAUGCGCAGAUAUCAGGAGGAACACCAAUAGCGAAGGCAGCUCUCUGGGACGGUACUGACGCUGAGGAGCGAAAGCGUGGGUAGCAAACAGG